rnacentral:tRNA from 1 species
UCCCAUAUGGUCUUGUGGUUAGUAUUUGGCGCUUUCAUCGCCAAGGCCCGGGUUCAAUUCCCGGUGUGGGAA